rnacentral:lncRNA from 1 species
UGGCUACAUAAUUUCCCAAAGUCAUACAAAUAAUAAGUAGGGGCGACAGGACUCAAACCAGGUAGGCCUGGCUCUAGAGGCUGAGUGCUCCACAACACUAACACCCUACAGAAACAGUUUACUGCCAAAGAGCAGACACAGACCCCACUCAGCCCUCUCAUUGCUACAGAGAGGGGCACUGUUCUCAGGCAAGGCCACUGUCACGUCACAGUGAGGCAGAAUUAAAUGCACAGAAAGAGGGGAUACCACUGUCACGUCACAGUGAGGCAGAAUUAAAUGCACAGAAAGAGGGGAUACCUUUCUCUGAGGCUGUUCCAGCUUAAGUUGAAAACAAUGAGGACAACUAGAAGGCAAGACCCUUUACUGGUAAACUAAACAGCCAAUGAACAAUUUACAAGUGACACAAUUACAAGGGACACCAAUUGCAACCAAAAACGGAAUCAGAAUCUAAUUUAUCUGUCUCCUUGGAGUCAAUAAUACAAUACAUUUAAAUUCACAAGUCAUAGUAGGAUUUGUACAACAUCAGAAUCUGUAGUUCUACAAAUCCCACUAUACCAAAGACUAUCCUAAUUAUUAAAAUCAACUAGAAAACUAUGAGAACCCCAAUUUCCACCCGAUUUCCACACCCUAGGCAAAACAACACCUUUGAAAUCAGAUGACGCCUACAUACUUCUCUGUACAACCAGAAUCUCCUUUUAAAGGUUGCAGUGAAUUAAUUUCUAAUUAUCAACAUUGUAUAGGACUCAAAAAUCACCAGUUCACUCUCACUAAACACUUCCACUGGUUUGAUGACCCGAUUGUGAAACAGAACCAACACUUUCUAAUCAUACUCAGUGGCUCUAAUUCUGCCAAAACAUCUGAGAAAUAAAGUGUUUGCAGAAACGUACCCAGUUCCAGCUCUUUAAGAACUGACUGAAAAGCAUGGGUGAAAUCAACAUAGUUUUCUCUCUUCACUGUCCAAAUUGAAAGAAAUGGAAGAUUAAGAAUUCUUAACUGGACACCUUGAUUUUUCACAAUCAUUACUUUUUCGGAAAUGGUAUACUAACAUUCAAAUAGUUCAAAAGGUUAUGCAUGAAAAUAAGUUUCUCCCACGUCUGACCACAUGAUCUCCCCACCCCCAACACCACUGUUACUAGUCUCUUGCGCAUCUUCCUGGAGUCCCAUUAUGCAUAUACAACAAGCAUACAUACACACACAUACUCAGACACACUCCACUGUGUGCGUGUCCUCCUUUCCACUCCUCUCCCCCUUUUCAAGCUAAAACAGAAGGAGACUAUACAAGAUCUUCUGAUUCUUUGUUUUUUCAUUUAAAUGCAUCUUUGAGAAGAUCCUAAAAAUACUAACAAAAAAAGUCAUAAACAUCAAAUCUAAACAAAUCUGUAAAAGAACAAUUCACACAAAACAUCUCUCACCAGGUGUUAAAACUGGUGACCUCUACUGGCAGGACAUAAGGAAGUCCAAGGUCAAAGAAGUAAUCCCUGUGGGGACCUGUCAGUUUUUGCACAAGAACAGGAAACUAUUUCCUGAUACUAUAAGAGACUGCAUUCCUAACCCCAGUCUAUGAUCUCACAAAUGUACACCACUUACCAAGGAAGACAAAGGUGAUUUAGAGAAAACCCAUCACUUUAGCAGGGGAAAAUUUUU